AUGAACGCUAGCGGCAGGCCUAAUACAUGCAAGUCGGACGGGAUUCAGGAGCUUGCUUCUGAUGAGAGUGGCGCACGGGUGCGUAACACGUAUGUAACCUACCUUUAUCAGGGGGAUAGCCUCUCGAAAGAGAGAUUAAGCCCGCAUAAAAUCACAGCACAGCAUUGUGUAAUGAUCAAAUAUUUAUAGGAUAAAGAUGGGCAUGCGGAACAUUAGCUAGAUGGCGGGGUAACGGCCCACCAUGGCGACGAUGUUUAGGGGAUCUGAGAGGAUGGCCCCCCAAACUGGAACUGGAACACGAACCAGACUACUGCGGGAGGGAGCAAUAGGAAAAAUUGGGCAAAGGGCGGAAGCAGGAACCCGACAUGGCGGGUGGAGAAAGGCGGACCUAAGGGUUGUAAACUUCUUUUAUAAGGGAAUAAACCCGGAAGCGGGAAUCUGGCUUAGUGUACUAUAAGAAAAAGAGUUCGGAAACCCCG
rnacentral:rRNA from 1 species